rnacentral:rRNA from 1 species
AUUGAACGCUGGCGGCAGGCCUAACACAUGCAAGUCGAGCGAGCGGCGGACGGGUUAGUAAUGUCUGGGAAACUUCCUUAUGGAGGGGGAUACCUACUGGAAACGGUAGCUAAUACCGCAUACCAUCAGAUGUUCCCAGAUGGGAUUAGCUAGUAGGUGGGGUAACGGCUCACCUAGUCGACUAUCCCUAGCUGGUCUGAUCGGAUGACCAGCCAGACGGGAACUGAGACACGGUCCAGACUCCGACGGGAGGCAGCAGUGGGGAAUAUUGCACAAUGGGCGCAAGCCUGAUGCAGCCAUGCCGAGUGUGUGAAGAAGGCCUUCGGGUUGUAAAGCACUUUCAGCGGGGAGGCGUUACUCGCAGAAGAAGCACCGGCUAACUCCGUGCCAGCAGCCGCGGUAAUAC